AGCGAACGCUGGCGGCAGGCUUAACACAUGCAAGUCGAACGGGCAUCUUCGGAUGUCAGUGGCAGACGGGUGAGUAACACGUGGGAACGUACCCUUCGGUUCGGAAUAACUCAGGGAAACUUGAGCUAAUACCGGAUACGCCCUUUUGGGGUAAGGUUUACUGCCGAAGGAUCGGCCCGCGUCUGAUUAGCUUGUUGGUGGGGUAACGGCCUACCAAGGCGACGAUCAGUAGCUGGUCUGAGAGGAUGAUCAGCCACACUGGGACUGAGACACGGCCCAGACUCCUACGGGAGGCAGCAGUGGGGAAUAUUGGACAAUGGGCGCAAGCCUGAUCCAGCCAUGCCGCGUGAGUGAUGAAGGCCUUAGGGUUGUAAAGCUCUUUUGUCCGGGACGAUAAUGACGGUACCGGAAGAAUAAGCCCCGGCUAACUUCGUG
rnacentral:rRNA from 1 species